AGUGAACGCUGGCGGUAGGCCUAACACAUGCAAGUCGAACGGCAGCACAGUAAGAGCUUGCUCUUACGGGUGGCGAGUGGCGGACGGGUGAGGAAUACAUCGGAAUCUACUUUUUCGUGGGGGAUAACGUAGGGAAACUUACGCUAAUACCGCAUACGACCUACGGGUGAAAGCAGGGGAUCUUCGGACCUUGCGCGAUUGAAUGAGCCGAUGUCGGAUUAGCUAGUUGGCGGGGUAAAGGCCCACCAAGGCGACGAUCCGUAGCUGGUCUGAGAGGAUGAUCAGCCACACUGGAACUGAGACACGGCCAGACUCCUACGGGAGGCAGCAGUGGGGAAUAUUGGACAAUGGGCGCAAGCCUGAUCCAGCCAUAGCGCGUGGGUGAAGAAGGCCUUCGGGUUGUAAAGCCCUUUUGUUGGGAAAGAAAAGCAGCAGGUUAAUACCCCGCUGUUCUGACGGUACCCAAAGAAUAAGCACCGGCUAACUUCGUG
rnacentral:rRNA from 1 species